CACGUAGGGCGCAAGCGUUGUCCGGAAUUAUUGGGCGUAAAGAGCUCGUAGGUGGUUUGUUACGUCUGCUGUGAAAACCUAGGGCUUAACCCUGGGCUUGCAGUGGAUACGGGCAGACUAGAGGUAGGUAGGGGAGAAUGGAAUUCCUGGUGUAGCGGUGAAAUGCGCAGAUAUCAGGAGGAACACCGGUGGCGAAGGCGGUUCUCUGGGCAUUAACUGACGCUGAGGAGCGAAAGCAUGGGGAGCGAACAGG
rnacentral:rRNA from 1 species